rnacentral:rRNA from 1 species
GAUGAACGCUGGCGGCGUGCUUAACACAUGCAAGUCGAACGAAGCACUUUAUUUGAUUUCCUUCGGGACUGAUUAUUUUGUGACUGAGUGGCGGACGGGUGAGUAACGCGUGGGUAACCUGCCUUGUACAGGGGGAUAACAGUUGGAAACGGCUGCUAAUACCGCAUAAGCGCACAGCAUCGCAUGAUGCAGUGUGAAAAACUCCGGUGGUAUAAGAUGGACCCGCGUUGGAUUAGCUAGUUGGUGAGGUAACGGCCCACCAAGGCGACGAUCCAUAGCCGACCUGAGAGGGUGACCGGCCACAUUGGGACUGAGACACGGCCCAAACUCCUACGGGAGGCAGCUGUGGGGAAUAUUGCACAAUGGGCGAAAGCCUGAUGCAGCGACGCCGCGUGAGCGAAGAAGUAUUUCGGUAUGUAAAGCUCUAUCAGCAGGGAAGAUAAUGACGGUACCUGACUAAGAAGCACCGGCUAAAUACGUG